ACUUUCACAAUUUUUUUUUCUGUAAUAAUGCAUUUAUCAGACAAAAUUGAUAAAGAAUGAAUUCAUUUUCUUUUCAUUUUAAAUCUUUUGGGCUUGGCUUACUUCUUGAGUAAAAUUAAAAUAAUUCCGUAUUUGUCUCCGGGCCGGUUUUGUCUUUUAUCGGAUGAAAAUGUACGUCAUUUUUGACGUCACUGCUGCAGCAGACGUGCUGGGUGUAUUGGAAAGGUAAGUGAUCUCCAAACAAUUUUAAAAGACUUUUAAUUCAUAUUGUUUUAAUAUCAUUUCAUUAUAGUUACAGGUGCAUAUGAACUUUCUAUAUACAUGUAAUACUCUUAUCAUUGUGACUUGUCAUGCAUUUCGUAAACCUAAUGAUAGUGAUCUAUGCAUGCAGUACCUUGAGUUCAGUGUCACAUUGCUGCGUCUAAAAAGCCCAAAGCUGAUAAGACUGGCGAUUGAUCCUAAAGCUGAUUUGACAGAAGAUUGUAUCUUCACAAUAUUAAAGGUUCAAUAUACAGUCAGCGUCUCAUAAGAAUAAAUCCCAAGAUCCAAGACUUGCUUAAAAGCUUAAUUAAGAGACCAUUCUGUGCCACAAAGAAAUUGUUCAGGAAAGGGAGAAAUGGUGGAUUUGCAUUAAUGGUACAGUUCAAAGAGAGUUCAAAAUGGUCAAGCUCAUGGAAGAUCAGAGGGAGGACAACUGAAGAAAACUGAAAGAUUCAGAAGGAAAAAGAACAAGAAAAUAUAUGAAAUAAUUAUGAAAUUGGGAGGAUGUACACAAUCUUGUCUGCAUUUGACCUGUAAAGAUUUAAUUCCCAUUCUUAUUUGUAUGCUGUAAUAUCAAAUAACUUGAUUUUUCCAUAAAUUUACAAUAGAGAAUACAUGACAAAUGUUAUAUGUGAUAUUUCAAUUUUGCUUUGGACACUUUCAU